GUUAAUUUCUAAUUGAAUGUUAUUUAAUAGCAGAUAUCUUAUAAUACUGUAAUGAAAUAUAUCCAGUAAAAUCUUAUGGUAAUCUGUAAUCAAGAUGUAGUCAUUUCUAGCUCAAUUUAUUUAAACUGCUCAAUAGAAUGAUAAGUAAAUCACCCAUCACAUGAUUUUAUUUACAGAAUUUGUCUCAAACAACCCAAUAAAAUUGGUAAGGCCAGCACUAAAACAUUUUUUGUUUCUUCUUUUACAAGCACUUUCUAUAGGUAGUUUGAUACUGGCAUCAACUUAAAUUGUGAAAGAAUCAGUCAACACUAUCAAUAUUAAUCUUAGGUUUGUUCAAACUACUUAUUUCAGAAUUAAUAGGAUGAAAACAAAAUCUGUUGAAAAUUACUUUAAAGGUGAUCUACAAAGGAGAAGUACCUAUUUACUUUUGGUCUUUUUUUAUAUUUUGGAAAAUUGGAAAAUGAGCUUAAUUUGUGUUUCUCAAUUGUUAUUUUUGAUUUUAUUUUUUUUUGGAGGGGAGCAGAACUUAAGGUAAUGAUGACUUUUCUGAUGUUUUUUUUGUGUUUACAAUUUAUGAUGAAAUAAUUAUUUGAUAUUUCAUACUUGUGUAUAUUUUGAAGAACUCUUGUUAUUUUAUUACAUGUAUGCAGGGUCUCAAUGUUUUGUCUAACAUUUAACCAUAUUUUGUUUUUGAGUUUAAACUAAAAUAUUAAUAUAACUUAUUGUAGAAUGCAUCAGAGAAUUUGAUUAAUAGUGAACAACUAUGUAAUGGUUUGAAGAUUUUAAUACAUAAUCAAUCAGUAUAAAAAAAAUCAAAACAUAGAAAAUUUAUAGAAAAAGAAAUGUUGGUUGUUUUUUUGGUUGAAGUUCAUGUAGUCAAGUUACAUAUUACAAGGAUUGAUUUGAUGAACCCCUUAUCAUUAUACUUGCUGCAGCUGAUAAAAUUAUACAAAGUAAAUCAUAUAAUGUAUCUUUAUCGUUCCCAGGUUUGAAUAUAUUUUCUGCAUAACAAAAAUAUUUUUUCUCCUAGGUUAUAUCCAUAUUUUGUAAAACAUAUGGUUUGACAAAAACAAAUUCUACUGAAUCAAUGCUUAUACACUGAAAGUUAGUUUGUAUGAUGAUUUAAGUUCUCUUUUUAGUUUAAUCAUGUACAUUCCUAUUUCAUAUGUGAUUCCUUAGGUGUCCUAAUAGGUUCAGUUAUAACAUAAAAAGACUUACUACUCACUAGUAUAAAGUAUAUACAAUCUAUGUUA
rnacentral:lncRNA from 1 species